rnacentral:rRNA from 1 species
CUGCUUCUACUUUCUGUAUGGAGCUGGGAGCGUCUGCCUGUUGGACGCCCGAAGAGCGUCAGGUUCGAUCCUUGGUAUGCAGAUGAACAUGACGAAUUACGGUGCCCCAUGUGGGCUUACAAGUGGGAUAUCGUUUUCGAGAUGACGAACGAUGUCAAUCUCAUGUACUAA